CUCUCUCUCUCUCUCUCUCUCUCUCUCUCUCUGUUUCUCAAUUUGGUCUUCAGAGAAAAUGGAAGCCAUAGACUCAGUCGUCGAUCCUCUCAGAGUGUUCGCGAAGGAAAGCACUCGACUGGUGAAGAGGUGCCACAAGCCUGAUCGCAAAGAGUUCACGAAGGUGGCGAUCCGUACAGCCAUCGGGUUCGUAGCAAUGGGAUUCGUUGGGUUUUUCGUGAAGCUGGUCUUCAUCCCCAUUAACAACAUCAUCGUCGGCUCUGUUUAGAUGGAGAAAUGAUAGAGUUGUGGUACUAGACCACUACGUCUAUAGAGUGUUACUGUACCAUUGCGUCAGCCGGUCAUGCUUAAGGUUCUGAGUUGACUAGAUCAAGGAGGCAGGCAGCAACUUGUACUCAAAGAGAAAGCAAUAGUAUUUUAGUUUACUUCUCAUUUGGUUGGGCUCUUCUUUGCCUUAGUUCUGUAAAUUAUGAUGCUUCUUUUUGCCUGAACAUAUGUAAAACUGUGAUACAUCGACUUGUUUAGUUUUCCAUAAUUGAGACCUCAUUCCCUCAUC